GGCCAGUGAUGCAAGAAAGAUAUUUGCUACUCUUGAUUGGAUACAUUUAUCAUCCAUAUGAUGAUCAUUUUCCACCAAGAUCUCUGAGGCC